rnacentral:lncRNA from 1 species
UUACUUGAGAGUCAGAGUCCUUUGUUUUGUAGGUCCCUCCUCUUGUCCUCCUAAGAAAGGGUACUCACAGUCUGAUGUUUGAGAUCGUGGAGCCCACCUUGGCCACAUCCACCCUGACGUCGGCCCACUCUAGAUUUUGGUAAGUACAUUUGGCGCCCAUUGUGGGGCCACAGUAAAACUUUCCCAGCAGCCUUUCUUUCACUAAUGGUUAGCACGCGGUCUAGCCUCAGACGCAGGACCCCUCUAGAAGGCUCCAAUCCUCCCCCAACAACUAUGAUAGACACCGAUACUCUCUAGCAACUCCAAACCCGCAUUGUGG